AAGGUUUAAAGGUAUUUUGAGGUUAAUAACCGAGUGAUAACUCGAGUUUAAUUUAGGGGUCGUUUGGAGAUGGUGAUAAUAUAGACAAAGGUACCAACGCUCGAACCAGAGUCCAGCUGUUUGUGCGGUAAACCGCAGAACCAAACCAGCCUUGUUCGGCUUGGUGGUAUGUUGGUUCCCAAUCAAUCUCGAACCAGUGAUCAGUUGGUUGGGUGAUGAAACCACACAACCAAACCGACUCCUGG
rnacentral:lncRNA from 1 species